UACGUAGGGUGCGAGCGUUGUCCGGAAUUACUGGGCGUAAAGAGCUCGUAGGUGGUUUGUCGCGUUGUUCGUGAAAUCUCACGGCUUAACUGUGAGCGUGCGGGCGAUACGGGCAGACUAGAGUACUGCAGGGGAGACUGGAAUUCCUGGUGUAGCGGUGGAAUGCGCAGAUAUCAGGAGGAACACCGGUGGCGAGGGCGGGUCUCUGGGCAGUAACUGACGCUGAGGAGCGAAAGCGUGGGGAGCGAACAGG
rnacentral:rRNA from 1 species